GAAAUGCGAUAAGUAAUGUGAAUUGCAGAAUUCAGUGAAUCAACGAAUCUUUGAACGCACCUUGCGCUCCUUGGUAUUCCUUGGAGCAUGCCUGUUUGAGUAUCAUGAAAUCUUCAAAGUAAAUCUUUUGUUAACUCAAUUGGUUUCUACUUUGGUAUUGGAGGUCUUUGCAGCUUCACACCUGCUCCUCUUUGUUCAUUAGCUGGAUCUCAGUGUUAUGCUUGGUUCCACUCGGCGUGAUAAGUUAUCUAUCGCUGAGGACACUGUAAAAGGUGGCCAAGGUAAAUGCAGAUGAACCGCUUCUAAUAGUCCAUUGACUUGGACAAUACUUUUAUGAUCUGAUCUCAAAUCAGGUAGGACUACCCGCUGAACUUAAGC
rnacentral:misc_RNA from 1 species